rnacentral:rRNA from 1 species
UACGUAGGUGGCAAGCGUUUGUCCGGAAUUAUUGGGGCGUAAAGCGCGCGCAGGCGGUCUCUUAAGUCUGAUGUGAAAGCCCACGGCUCAACCGUGGAGGGUCAUUGGAAACUGGGGGACUUGAGUACAGAAGAGGAAAGCGGAAUUCCACGUGUAGCGGUGAAAUGCGUAGAGAUGUGGAGGAACACCAGUGGCGAAGGCGGCUUUCUGGUCUGUAACUGACGCUGAGGCGCGAAAGCGUGGGGAGCAAACAGG